rnacentral:rRNA from 1 species
AGUCGAACGGCAGCACGGACUUCGGUCUGGUGGCGAGUGGCGAACGGGUGAGUAAUGUAUCGGAACGUGCCUAGUAGCGGGGGAUAACUACGCGAAAGCGUAGCUAAUACCGCAUACGCCCUUCCGGGGAAAGCGGGGACCUUCGGGCCUCGCACUAUUAGAGCGGCCGAUAUCGGAUUAGCUAGUUGGUGGGGUAACGGCUCACCAGGCGACGAUCCGUAGCUGGUUUGAGAGGACGACCAGCCACACUGGGACUGAGACACGGCAGACUCCUACGGGAGGCAGCAGUGGGAAUUUUGGACAAUGGGGGAAACCUGAUCCAGCCAUCCCGCGUGUGCGAUGAGGCCUUCGGGUUGUAAAGCACUUUUGGCAGGAAAACGGCACGGGAUAAUACCCCACGACCACAGCUGACAGUACCUGCAGAAUAAGCACCGGCUAACUACGUGCCAGCAGCGCGGUAAUACGUAGGGUGAAAGCGUUAAUCGGAAUUACUGGGCGUAAAGCGUGCGCCAGGCGGUUCGGAAAGAAAGAUGCUUGAAAUCCCAGAGCUUAACUUUGGAACUGCAUUUUUAACUACCGAGCUAGAGUGUCAGAGGGAGGUGGAAUUCCGCGUGUAGCAGUGAAAUGCGUAGAUAUGCACGGAGGAACACCGAUGGCGAAGGCAGCCUCCUGGGAUAACACUGACGCUCAUGCACGAAAGCGUGGGGAGCAAACAGGAUUAGAUACCCUGGUAAUUCACGCCCUAAACUGAUGUCCAACUAGCUGUUGUUGUUGGGGCCUUCGGGCCUUGGUAGCGCAGCUAACGCGUGAAGUUGACCGCCUGGGGAAGUACGGUCGCAAGAUUAAAACUCAAGAAAUUGACGGGGACCCGCACAAGCGGUGGAUGAUGUGGAUUAAUUCGAUGCAACGCGAAAAACCUUACCUACCCUUGACAUGUCUGGAAUCCCGAAGAGAUUUGGGAGUGCUCGCAAGAGAACCGGAACACAGGUGCUGCAUGGCUGUCGUCAGCUCGUGUCGUGAGAUGUUGGGUUAAGUCCCGCAACGAGCGCAACCCUUGUCAUUAGUUGCUACGAAGGGGCAUAAUGAGACUGCGGUGACAAACCGGAGGAAGGUGGGGAUGACGUCAAGUCCUCAUGGCCCUUAUGGGUAGGGCUUCACACGUCAUACAAUGGUCGGGACAGAGGGUCGCCAACCCGCGAGGGGGGCCAAUCCAGGAAACCCGAUCGUAGUCCGGAUCACAGUCUGCAACUCGACUGCGUGAAGUCGAAUCGCUAGUAAUCGCGGAUCAGCAUGUCGCGGUGGUACGUUCGGGUCUUGUACACCGCCCGUCACACCAUGGGAGUGGGUUUACCAGAAGUAGUUAGCCUAACCGUAAGGAGGGCGAUUUCACGGUAAGUUCAUGACUGGGGUGAAGUCGUAACAAGGUAG